rnacentral:rRNA from 1 species
GCUCAGAUUGAACGCUGGCGGCAUGCCUUACACAUGCAAGUCGAACGGCAGCAUAGGAGCUUGCUCCUGAUGGCGAGUGGCGAACGGGUGAGUAAUAUAUCGGAACGUGCCCUAGAGUGGGGGAUAACUAGUCGAAAGAUUAGCUAAUACCGCAUACGAUCUACGGAUGAAAGUGGGGGAUCGCAAGACCUCAUGCUCCUGGAGCGGCCGAUAUCUGAUUAGCUAGUUGGUGGGGUAAAAGCCUACCAAGGCGACGAUCAGUAGCUGGUCUGAGAGGACGACCAGCCACACUGGGACUGAGACACGGCCCAGACUCCUACGGGAGGCAGCAGUGGGGAAUUUUGGACAAUGGGGGCAACCCUGAUCCAGCAAUGCCGCGUGAGUGAAGAAGGCCUUCGGGUUGUAAAGCUCUUUUGUCAGGGAAGAAACGGUUUUGGCUAAUAUCCAGAACUAAUGACGGUACCUGAAGAAUAAGCACCGGCUAACUACGUGCCAGCAGCCGCGGUAAUACGUAGGGUGCAAGCGUUAAUCGGAAUUACUGGGCGUAAAGCGUGCGCAGGCGGUUGUGUAAGACAGAUGUGAAAUCCCCGGGCUCAACCUGGGAAUUGCAUUUGUGACUGCACGGCUAGAGUGUGUCAGAGGGGGGUAGAAUUCCACGUGUAGCAGUGAAAUGCGUAGAUAUGUGGAGGAAUACCGAUGGCGAAGGCAGCCCCCUGGGAUAAC